CGCUAUCACUCCUACGGGAGGCAGCAGUGGGGAAUAUUGCACAAUGGGGGAAACCCUGAUGCAGCCAUGCCGCGUGUGUGAAGAAGGCCUUCGGGUUGUAAAGCACUUUCAGUAGGGAGGAAGGUAGUGUAGUUAACACCUGCACUUAUUUGACGUUACCUACAGAAGAAGCACCGGCUAACUCCGUGCCAGCAGCCGCGGUAAUACGGAGGGUGCGAGCGUUAAUCGGAAUUACUGGGCGUAAAGCGCAUGCAGGCGGCCUGUUAAGUCAGAUGUGAAAGCCCGGGGCUUAACCUCGGAAUUGCAUUUGAAACUGGCAGGCUAGAGUCUUGUAGAGGGGGUAGAAUUUCAGGUGUAGCGGUGAAAUGCGUAGAGAUCUGAAGGAAUACCAGUGGCGAAGGCGGCCCCCUGGACAAAGACUGACGCUCAGAUGCGAAAGCGUGGGGAGCAAACAGGAUUAGAUACCCUGGUAG
rnacentral:rRNA from 1 species